rnacentral:rRNA from 1 species
UACGGAGGGUGCAAACGUUGCUCGGAAUUAUUGGGCGUAAAGCGCACGUAGGCGGUCUCGUAAGUCGGGUGUGAAAGCCCGGGGCUCAACCCCGGAAGUGCACUCGAAACUGCAAGGCUUGAGUACGGAAGAGGGUCUCGGAAUUCCCGGUGUAGAGGUGAAAUUCGUAGAUAUCGGGAGGAACACCAGUUGCGAAGGCGGAGACCUGGGCCGAUACUGACGCUGAGGUGCGAAAGCGUGGGGAGCAAACAGG